rnacentral:rRNA from 1 species
GACGAACGCUGGCGGCGUGCUUAACACAUGCAAGUCGAACGGAAAGGCCCCUUCGGGGGUACUCGAGUGGCGAACAGGUGAGUAACACGUGAGUAACCUGCCCUUGACUUCGGGAUAACUUCAGGAAACUGGGGCUAAUACCGGAUAGGAAUCCUUGCUGCAUGGUGGGGGUUGGAGAGCUUCGGCGGUUUUGGAUGGACUCGCGGCUUAUCAGCUUGUUGGUGGGGUAGUGGCUUACCAAGGCUUUGACGGGUAGCCGGCCUGAGAGGGCGACCGGCCACAUUGGGACUGAGAUACGGCCCAGACUCCUACGGGAGGCAGCAGUGGGGAAUAUUGCACAAUGGGCGGAAGCCUGAUGCAGCAACGCCGCGUGCGGGAUGACGGCCUUCGGGUUGUAAACCGCUUUCAGCAGGGGCGAAGCUUGUGGUGACGGUACCUGCAGAAGAAGCACCGGCUAACUACGUG